rnacentral:lncRNA from 1 species
ACGUUUCGGUAGCGCAGACCACUCUGCUUGUUGAGUUUAUGGAGCAGCACCCGUACUUGGCGAGAGGCGCCACAAGCCUCUCGCCAAGUAUGAGUGUUGCGCAUAAAAAGCCUGUGCGAGUAUGUCGCUGCG